UGAGCAAUGAUGAAAAGCUAACGUGUGAGAAGAUCGUAUAUGAAAUAUACUUGUUACACUUGGCUUCUGAUUUUU